rnacentral:lncRNA from 1 species
CCGGCGUUCAAUUAUAUCUCGAAAAUAACUUUUAAAAUUGUGUAACGUGCUCUCGUGUGCAUAUCCCUUACGGGUUUGGGGCUUCGUGGACUUUGCAGCCCGCCUCAGUCCUUUGUUGCCUAGGGAGCCACGAGGGAAUUGGUUCCCUGGACAAACGUUUUCUGAGCGGGUGCUGCGUGCUAGGCACAGUGCCUGCGCGGGAUGCCCGGACUUGGUGCCCAGAGAUCGUCAGCGGGAGAAGUGAGAAGCAGGUACAAAGCAGGGUGCGGGUACAGAGAGGAGGGCAGAAAGCCUCCCGGGCUCGUUGCUUUCUCAGUUUUCCAUUGUACUUAGUGCACCUUGAAAUAUAUAUUCGCUAGCUCGUCUGUUGACUCCCCCCUCCCCUUCCCGGCACUGGACUUUAUUCACUACUGUAGCCUCAGUUCCUAGAACGGAGCUUGAGACGUGGCAGGUGCUCCUGUUGGUGGAAUGAGCGAUUCGGGGAGAUCGGGACUCACGUGAAAUCGAGACGUGAUCUGUAGUCUUGGAGCCGCCCUGGGUUGGUGGUACCCUAGAGCACACCAGACUUGCAGAAAAAGCAUACUCCAGAGGAAGCUGAGGCAUGACUGCUCAAGAGCCAGCCGUUCUAUGUGCAAUUUUCCUCUGAUAGUUCCUGGGUGCUGUUGCCACGGUGAUAAUGACCGCGCCGUGUCAUUAUCUAUCGACCGACAGCAAGAGAAGCCUUGCAGUCGAGAUAUUGUUUAACAGACAGAGUGGUUUCUGUUGGACACUGAGUACUGCUACAUUUUUUUUUAACCUUACGUAUUUUAAAAAUGGUUUCGAGAGGUGACCUGUCUUGGAGGUUCUCAACUUUAAAAUCAGAAAACGAGGACAUGCUGGUAACAAGUAAUCUUGCAACCAUUCUGCCUGAAACUGGGACCCUAGUGAAUUGAGAAUAAACUCAAGAUAUUCCUCAGAAGUGCUUGUCCCUGACAUAUUUAUUUCAUCCUUAUUGACGGUAUGGAUAUGUGAUAGUUUUCUGACAUUGAUCUGCUUCUUACAGAAUCCUUCCCCCCCCCCCCCCCCCAGCUUCAUGGAUUCCAGGUAAAUCGGAGGAGCAAGCAUCAUGAACAGAAGUAUGUACAGGAAAUGCGGUGGUGCUGAAGCCUAAGCGAUGUUGCAGAAGUCCAGGACCUGGUGCGCUUACCAGUUGGGAAUGUAUUAUUUCCCAAAUCACCUAAUCUUUCCUCAUGCUUAUAGUAAGUUGGGUUUUUUAAAUAAAUAAAUAGAUAGAUUAAAAAUAUAAAAAUAUAAAUAUAUAUUUAUAUAUAUAUAAACAUAUAUAUUUUUAUAUAUUGGUAUUGUAUUGGUAUAUAUAUGUAUGUGUGUGUGUGUAUGUGUGUGUGUGUGUGUAUAUAUAUAUGUAAUUUGUUCCUGCAAAGCUAAAACUGUUCACUGCCUCCACGAAACUGACCUGUUUCUGUGUUGACUGGAAUAGGGAGAAAAAUUCGCAGACUUCUCUUCUGAGGAUCCAGGGACGUAGAACAAUAACGCGAGGUGGCACAUCUCUUACCUAGUAUGUAGCAUUGGCUUGGAAGCUUAGAUGUCUUUCUUACUGUCAGACGUUUUAUUGAGAACACAGCUGUCAUCAUAAGAUUACAAGUAAACCCUGAGCAGGAAGAAUACCUGGCCUGCGUUCUGGGAACUUACAGUAAGUCGAGUUGCUGUGGGCAAUAGAGCAUAGGAACACAGGUGAAACCUAAGGAUAUGAGAGAGCAUGUCUGUGUUCAUUCAGAACACUCGGUGGGGUGGCUUUGAUAGCACGGUCAAGGGCAAGAUAAAUCUAAACUUUUGGGUUAGGCAUCGCAACCAAAGAAAUUAAAACAAUUUGAAGUUUUUAAUAAAGCAGCCCAAAAUACAAAAUUUUAUGGAUGUUGAACAUACUCCUUUCUGUCUUUGAUUUAAAGCCACCCUUAUACUCUGGUUUCUCUUCAGAUCGAAUAAAUCUUUCGCCUUCUAAAACCACCAUUGAGGGCGCUUGGGUGGCUCAGUCAGUUGAGCGUCUGACUUGAUUUCAGCUCCUGUCACGAUCUCUCGGUCCGUGGGUUCGAGCCCCACGUUGGGCUCUGCGCUGGCAGCACGGAACCUGCUUCGGAUUUUCUGUCUCCGUCUCUCUCUGCCCCUCCCCUGCUCACGCUCUCUCUCUCCUUCUAAAUAAAUAAACACUUAAAAAAAUAAAAAAUGAAACCACUCUUGGAGUAUUGCCUCCAAACAUUGUGAUUUAAAGAAACGAAGAAGGUGGUAUGCGAGAUAUUUCUUCCAAAGCAUCAAACUCUCAUGUAUGAUUUGGCAUUUUAUUUUUGAGGUGUUUCUUUAGAAAUCUGUUUUGUUAAUGCCUGAAUCACUAUAUUGUACACCUGAACCUGAUGUAAAACUAUACAUUGACUAUACUGGAAUUAAAAGCAAAACUAUUUUCUAUAAUGAAAACAUGACAAAAACCGUUGUCAGAAAUCUGCUUUUAUGCUCCAAUGUAUUUUGGGCAUUUUGAGCACGUAAGUCAAUUAUCUUUAUCAGUUCGUGAUGUCUCCCAUGUGAACAUUAG